rnacentral:rRNA from 1 species
GAUGAACGCUGGCGGCGUGCCUAAUACAUGCAAGUCGAGCGAACAGACGAGGAGCUUGCUCCUCUGACGUUAGCGGCGGACGGGUGAGUAACACGUGGAUAACCUACCUAUAAGACUGGGAUAACUUCGGGAAACCGGAGCUAAUACCGGAUAAUAUAUUGAACCGCAUGGUUCAAUAGUGAAAGACGGUUUUGCUGUCACUUAUAGAUAGAUCCGCGCCGCAUUAGCUAGUUGGUAAGGUAACGACUUACCAAGGCAACGAUGCGUAGCCGACCUGAGACAGUGAUCGGCCACAGUGGAACUGGAACACAGUCCAGACUCAGACGGGGGGCAGCAGUAGGUAUUCUUACGCAAUGGGCGAAAGCUUGACGGAGCAACACCGGUUGAGUGAUGAAGGUUUUCGGAUCGUAAACCUCUGUUAUUAGGGAAGAACAAAAGUGUAAGUGACUAUGCACGUCUUGACGGUACCUAAUCAGAAAGCCACGGCUAACUACGUG